UUCACCCGUUUUUGGAUCUGAAACAACGGGCCAGCGUGCACUUUCGAAGAAUUGGGUUUUACUGCAGCAUUGGUGCUCAUAACUUGCGAAAUAAUUGAGUAGACAGCGGAAAACCGAGCCACAUACAGCUUAUUUUACGAGUGUACGAAAGCACGAAGGAAGCUGGAUGGGUGGCCCAACCUGGACAAAGUCACUCCCCCAAGGACGAUGCCAUCACACUUGAACCUCACAAGUCAACAUUCUCGAACGUGACCCAUUGACGACCGCCAGCAAAGUUUGAAGCAGCACUCACCCUGCCCGGAAUUUUCCCGAAAGCGGACAGUGACCUACGGCGAAUAACAUCACCACCCGGACUUGACCUUCUGGAAUAUUCCCGAAUCUGACUCACUGACAAACGCCUGUGGCGUGCCCGUACCGAUUAUGACGUCAUGUAGCAAACCUAUUUAAGAAAUGUGUAAUCAGCUACGCAUCUUUAGUCCUGACGAAGACAGUGCCACUGUCGAAACGUCGACAACCCUUUUAGCAUUCCAAGUAUCUUAAAUGUAAAUAAAUUAUCCCUUUUUUCUUA